AAUCCAUGGUGAGGACACCUUCGCAGUAGGUCCUUGUAUCUCUCUCAUACAUCGUAAAAAGUUUCUAUGUCCAUCUGCACAAAUGGAGAGAUGUCAUUAUGUAAUU
rnacentral:snoRNA from 1 species